CUACGGGGGGCAGCAGUGAGGAAUUUUGCGCAAUGGGGGGAACCCUGACGCAGCAACGCCGCGUGAGUGAUGAAGGCUUUCGGGUCGUAAAGCUCUGUCAAGUGGGAAGAACCUAUGCAGUGUUAAUAUCACUGUAUACUGACGGUACCACUGAAGGAAGCACCGGCUAACGUCCGCGCCAGCAGCCGCGGUAAUACGGGGGGUGCAAGCGUUAUUCGGAAUCAUUGGGCGUAAAGGGCACGUAGGCGGCUUGGUAAGUCAGAUGUGAAAGCCCGGGGCUUAACCCCGGAAGUGCAUUUGAUACUGUCAGGCUUGAGUAUGGGAGAGGGAAGUGGAAUUCCUGGUGUAGAGGUGAAAUUCGUAGAUAUCAGGAGGAACACCGGUGGCGAAGGCGACUUCCUGGACCAAUACUGACGCUGAGGUGCGAAGGCGUGGGUAGCAAACAGGAUUAGAUACCCCCGUAGUC
rnacentral:rRNA from 1 species